UCCAUGUAGUACUCUCCUAGGGGACUGAUGAUAAGUGGAGUGUAGCUUAAUGGUCGUGUUAUAUCAACAUUAGGCAGCAUAUAAUAAGGGCUGUCCCCAAAGAACAUGACACCUUUAGGGGCUAAACAAAGGGCAAACGUUGGGGCAAAACCAGCAGACCCAAAGUGUGAGGCCAGUUGAGUUGGUAGAGAAAUGGGGGAAUGUCCCAAUCCAGCCACCCCUUGAACAGUACUUGGUAACCCUCUUUGCAGUAAAAGGGAAGGUGCACAAGUGAACAAGAACUGAGGGACCCUAACCAUUGGACCAGGGUUAGACCCUUGAGUGGAUUGAAUUGAUAGCACAUCUUGUGCAAGAUCACUCAUGGCGGUAAGGCCUGUCACAGGGUUCAUUGACAUGACCCCACAUGUGUUGUUAUGGCACCCUGGUCCAUCCCUGGUGGAGCAUAUGUGGCAAUAGUGACUGUCAGCUCUAGAGCAUUGAGUCGAGCGGCACCUAGGGGCAUGGUAGGUGGACGAACAGUAACUUUUCUCACAAGUAACCCAUAGUAACCUUCCAUUCAAGUCCACAACAAAUGGGACUUUCUGUGAAGGAGUUCUCUUGUAUAUGUUAGUCACAUAAAGUUUAGUUUUCGGAUCUUUUUGCAGCUGCAAAACGAACCUGUUCGGUUUCGAAGUCUUUUGAGAUUCAGAUAAAAGGAUGAAAGAAGAAACGGAAAGGAAAAUGAGAAGGAAAAGAAGGAAAGAAGAAGCCAUGAAAGCUCAAUGCCUGCACAGUGAUGCAAGAAGAGGGUAAGCGGUGAGGAAAUAAAGGGGGAAAAUGGAGUUACUUAUAGGCAAAUUGAGUUCUUAAAAUCUAGUCAUAUUUUUGGGUGAUCCAAGCAUUGUUCAUGUGAAAGUUUUAGGCAUUAUAUGCAUUUGGCAAGCAGAAGAUGAAAGUUAGGCAGGCUAAAGUUAGGAAAAUUCAGGCUAAAAGAUGGACCCCAAAGCAAAGGAACAAAAUUGAAUUGGAAAGUGUGGAAGGCACUUGGCAAUGGCUUAGAGCUUCUACAGCCGUGCCAUCAACACAUACAAGGACUUCAUGGGUUUGGCUUGGCUUGGACUGAACUGGAAUUUGAUAAAUUUCAUCUUUAAUUUCUCAAGCAUGUUAAUUUCUAACAUAUGGACAAAUAUGACCUUAUGGUAGAUAGAAGUUUGUACGUAAGGGAACCCUACUGGGAUUUCUGGGAUUUCUCAAUCAAGUCAUGUGAAACAUUAUUACAAUAGCAUUUAUUGACUUGUACUAGCUGCAAACUUGUCCAUCAUUCUAAAAAGCUAAGAGUUUUAGAUAAUCAUAAAGAACCCCAGAACGGACUCAGCGUAACAAUGCCAAUGGAAAUACAUAACCUUACUAGUAACAAGAACACACCGAAAUUCACCCCUAGCGCAUCAUCAUCAAAAUCAAUAUCAUGACUAGAUCUACUGUAUCUUCCAUCAGCUUGUGUAUACGCAUAUAUCAAGCACAAGUCACUGAAAUUCGUCAAAGUUCUAUUCCUGUAUACCUGUGCAUCCGGUUGACCCUGCAAAUCCAUUAUAAUAAAAUAAGAGCAUAUAAAAAUGCAAAAACCUCGACAUAAACAAGAACAUCAUCCCCACCUUGAUAUAUGCAUUCCAUACAUGUGGAGGGGCAACUACCAAUUUCCUUGUAUCAUCCCAACUAAACCCGUUUUGUUCGAGAAGAUUCUUCACAUCAUUAUACUGCUUCCACAAAUUGGUAGAAUGACUUUUCAAAGUGUCCCUAUCGUAUUUACACCCAAAUUUCGCAUUGAAAAUAGAUAACAUAUCGGUCCAAGCUUGUUUAUUAAAUGUAUGGCCUAAUCUAUUACCCCUAUGCAUUUGAUCUAACAUAAGAUCAAUGAAAAACCGUUCCAUUGUCGGCGUCCAAUUUGUUCUUGUUCAAUCACUGCUACUAGGUGCAUUGCUCCCCAUUCUCCCCCCUACUAAUACAAAAAAGCUUCAUUAAUUUCUUAAUUUAGAAUUACAGUACCUUAAAAAGUUGAAAUUUAAGCGACAACUUACAAGCCCAUAAAAUUCAAAGCUAAUAUAAGCUCAAAUGAAAUAAAAAUUGAAAAGAUAAAAAAAAGCUAGUAAAUUUUUUGUUCAAAAAGAUAUCUGCAAAAAGGGCAUUAAUAAUUGUUUAGUUUAAGGUUUCUACUACCUAAGAGCUUCAAGCAGACAUAUUCUAUCUAAAUUAAGUUGAGAUAACUUUAAAUUAGCUCUAACAUCUAAAAUUGAAAACUUUAUAACUUUUUUUUUUGUCUUUUCCAGCAUUAUCCCACUAGUGAUACGAAAAAAUAAGCGAAACUAUUAGUAAAAAAUAAGCAAAAAAAAAAAUUGAACCUUGGUACCUUUGGGUUUUUUGUCAGAGAUUUCGCGUACGAAAAUUUUAUUUCAAUUUCCGGGAAAUUUGAUCAGGAGUGUGUUUUGCGGGUGCUUUAGAUUCCAACCAAAAAGAUCAUGAAAGAAUGGGUGCUUUUGAUUGGAAGCUUGAAGGAGAAACUACAGCCUGUUUGGUUGCUGAGAAAAUGGGUAGUUAACAGGCAAGAAAGUUCUCAGAAGUGGGCUCAAAAAGCACUUCAAUUGGACCCUUUCAGCCCAAAAACCUGAAGAUUGGACCCAAGGAUCCAACACUUUAUUUAUAAAGAAACUAUUUAAUCAGAUGUGUUUCGACAUAUUUAAAUUCACAUGCCAAUCGAAUUAAGACUCAAUCACAAUAGUUUAGAAACUUAAGAUUUUGAAUAUCCAUAUGUUUGUAUAUUUUAUUAUGUUAUAAAUGUGUUAAAAUAUUUUGACUUAUACAAUUUUUGAUAAUUUAAUAAUUUCUAUUAUAUAAUUUUUAGAUUAUUUGUAAUUUCAGAUCUUAUGUUGUGUGAUUUUUAUAUGAUAAGAAAGUUUAGAAAUACGGAGAGCAAUUCCUUUUCAGAAUUAAUCAUUUUGAUUACAUUUCCAAAAAAAAGUGAAAGGGCCAAAACACAUAGAGAUGGCCUUUAUUACAAUACACAUUUACAUACAUAGAUCAAUACAUACACAUAUAUGUGUAUGUAUAGCUCUAAUUAUUCCGUUUAUCACAUUGGGGUAGUGGAAACUUAAACCAAGCAAAAGUGACCCUUACUGGGAAGCUUGCACUUUUGUUUUUAUGGAAUAACAGUGAAGUUGAAAUUAUUGCAAGAAGUCUUGUAGAACAGCAAGGAAGAAUUGAAACCAAGCCUUGAUCUUGCCAUAUCAAACUGUACCAGAUUAUUCUCCAUUUGGUAAGCCCCAAUAAUAAUCGAAGCUCCAUUGUUCUUCAUUCCUCCAUCCACAAAAGCUAAGCAAGACACUCCUGGUGCAGCUUCAACAAAGGAGUUUGCUCCAUAAAUCCUCCACAUAACAUGCUUGUCAUGGAGCACAAGGUCGAUGUUGUUGUUCCAAUAGGGUCGGAAGCGUGUAAAUUAUUGUACUAAAAAAUCACACAAAGUUCAAUUCCCAGGGAAGAGAGGUGGAUCACAAGGAUCUCUUAAAUACCAAGUCUUUCCUUAGUCAGAAUAUUCCUUCUAACGUAAUUUAGUAGCACAAUUAAAUACUACUAUUAUACCCUCAAAUAUUGAAAGAAAAAUAGGACAAAAAGAACACAAGAGUUUUAACGAGGUUCGGUAAAUUAUACCUACGUCCUCGGGCUACUAAAACCAGAUGAUAACUUUACUAUCUCCAAAAUAUUACAAACAAAUAGAAUUCCUUAAGAAUUCUCAAAUGGGAGAAGAGAGAAAACUAAGAGAGAAAGAUUGGUUGGGAUGAAUUGAAAUGAGAAAUGAGAAGGCUUAUUUAUAGUUGAAGUUCAAGGACCAAACAAUAAAUAGCCCAUUAUCUCAAGGACCAAAAAAAAUUAUCCCUUGCCACUUUUCCAAAGUUGGUGGUUGUCAUUAUUGAUUGUCUCCCAUUAAUGUUAAUGGCAACCAUUAUUAAUUGUAUUCCAUUAAUGUUAACAAUCUCCACCUUGAAGAUUUGAUUAGGAUAAUCACAUCUUCACACACUUCCUUCAACUCCCCAAAUUCGAUAAAGCUAUCUUUUGUAGUGCCUACAAAUGCGCUCUCGAGCGCCAUACACCUGAAGGUGCUCAAAUUCUCAGGAUGUUAAUCAAGUUCAAACAAUGAUUAAACUUGAUUGUUGUUACCACAUUGGUCAUCAUAUCUGCGGGAUUAUCUGCUGUCGGAAUCUUCUGAAGUAGAAUUUUUCCUUUUUCAAAGACUUCCCGCACAAAGUGAUAUCUUACGUCGAUAUGCUUGGUUCUUGAAUGAUAGACUUGAUUUUUCGCUAAAUGAAUAGCGCUCUGACUGUCACAAUAUAAACUUAUGUGACUUUGAACAACUCCUAAGUCUUUCAACAAUCCAUUAAGCCAAAUAGCCUCCUUAACAGCUUCUGUAACUGCCAUAUAUUCUGCCUCUGUAGUAGACACAGCUACUGUAGACUGUAAGGUAGACUUCUAACUCACUGGGGCUUUCGCAAGAGUAAACAGAUACCCCGUAGUUGAACGACGUUUAUCUAAAUCACCAGCAAAGUCGGAAUCAACAUAUCCAACUACAAACUGACCAAGUGCUUCAUCCUGUUCAAAAAUUAAACCAACAUCUACGGUUUUUCGAAGAUACCGUAGAAUCCAUUUCACAGCUUUCCAAUGUCCUUUUCCAGGAUCAUGCAUAUACCUGCUCACAACUCUAACAGCUUGUGAAAUGUCAGGCCUCGUACACACCAUCGCAUACAUCAAACUCCCAACUGCAUUAGCAUAUGGGACUUUCGCCAUAUAUUCUCUUUCAUCUUCAGUCUUCGGAGAUAAUUGAGCACUAAGUUUCAAAUGAGAAGCAAGUGGGGUACUUACAUGUUUUGUGUUUUCAUUUACACCAAAACAUUAUAAUACCUUUUUCAGAUAUUGCUUCUGAUUUAAACAGAGCUUGCCUCUCGGUCUAUCUCUACUUAUCUCCAUGCCGAGAAUCUUCUUGGCCUCACCUAGAUCUUUCAUCUCGAACUCUUGAUUCAACUGAGCCUUCAGCUUAUCUAUCUCAUUUUGGCUCUUCGAAGCGAUUAACAUAUCAUCAACAUACAAGAGUAGAUAAAUGAAAGAUCCGUCAUGCAGCUUCUGCAAAUAUACACAAUUGUCAUAUUUGCUUCUUGUGUACUUCUGCCUUCUCAUAAAGCUAUCAAAUCGCUUGUACCACUGUCUCGGGGAUUGCUUCAAUCCAUAUAGCGAUUUGUUAAGCUUACAAACCCAAUUUCUACCACCAGCAUCUGUGUAUCCUUCUGGCUGAGUCAUAUAGAUCUCCUCUUCUAACUCACCAUGCAAGAAAGCCGUCUUAACAUCAAGUUGAGCUAGCUCCAAAUUCAACUGUGCUACCAAGGCCAACAAAAUUCUAAUGGAGGAAUGCUUCACAACAGGGGAAAAUACAUCAUUGUAGUCAAUUCCCUCCUUCUGAGCGUAGCCUUUAGCUACCAACCUUGCAUUGUAGCGAAUAUCCUUCUUGCUAGGAGAUCCAUCUUUCUUUGCGAAUACCCACUUGCAUCCGAUUGCCCUUUUACCUUUCGGUAAUUGCGCCAAUUCCCAAGUAUUGUUCUUCAGGAGAAACUGCAUUUCUUCAUCCAUGGCGCUUUUCCAUUUAUCACUUUCUAAGCUUUGCAUUGCUUCUUGAUAAGUGAUAGGAAUAUUAUCAACAACGAGAAGGGCGUAGGCCACUAUAUCAGUAAAUCGAGCAGGUUUACGAAUUUCUCUCCGUGGCCUUGCAACUGUAAUUGGUUCUGGUGUACUUAGUGGUUCUUGGGUCAGAACCUCUUCAACCUCUAAUUCCUCCAUUGUGGCUGGAGAAUUAGACUUAUUAACUAGGCAAAUCCCCAUCUGCUCAAACUCCACCUGUUUUGGAGUACACUCCACCUGCUGUGGAGUAUUGCUCGUCUGAAUAUCUUUAUCUGCUACCUUUUUCAAUGUGGCAGAUUCAUCAAAGGUAACAUCUCUACUACAGAUCAUUUUCUUUGUGCUUAAGCACCAAAGAUGAAAUCCCUUCACUCCAGAAGUGAUUCCCAUAAAGAGAGCUUUCUUUGCCCUCGGAUCUAACUUUGACUCCUUCACAUGGUAAUAUGCAGUGGUUCCAAACACAUGUAAGGAAUCAUAAUCUGUAGUCGGUUUUCCAGACCAUACCUCCAUAGGAGUUUUUCUUUCUAAUGCAGAUGAUGGCAAACGAUUAACAAGAUGGCCAGCGUAUGUCACAGCCUCAGCCCAAAAUUGCUUGCCCAACCCAGCAUUGGACAACAUACAUCGAACUUUCUCCAGCAAUGUUCGAUUCAUACGCUCUGCCAAUCCAUUCUGCUGUGGUGUAUCCCUAACUGUGAAGUGUCGAACAAUACCAUACUCUUGGCACACAUCGAAGAACGGAUCACUUUUAUAUUCCCCUCCAUUGUCCGUCCUAAGCCGCUUGAUUUUCUUGCCAGUCUGGUUUUCGAUCAUAGUUUUCCAUUUAAGAAAAACUCUAAGCACUUCAUCCUUAGUUCUCAUGGUAUACACCCAAACUCUUCUGGAAAAGUCAUCAACAAAAGUAACAAAGUAGUGUUUUCCUCCCAAUGAAGGUGUCUUAGAAGGCCCCCACACAUCUGAGUGAACAUAUUCCAAAAUACCUUUUGUAUUAUGGAUAGUAGUACCGAAUUUCACUCUCUUUUGCUUUCCCAGAACACAAUGCUCGCAAAAUUUUAAUUUGCAAGCCUUUGCAACUUUCAACAAUCCUUGCUUUGCCAGAAUUUGCAAGGAUUUUUCGCUGGCAUGUCCCAACUUCAUAUGCCACAAUUGUAUUGAGUCCAAUUCUUUGUUACCGGAAGCUGCAGCUACUGCUCCAAUAACUGUACUACCUUGGUAGUAAUACAAGUUAUUUUUCCUGAUGCCCUUCAAUAUCACAAGUGCAACCCCAUCUCUCAUAGUAACAACUGAACCAUUGGAUUCCAGGGCUCCCAAUGAGAUGAGAUUUUUCUUCAAACUGGGCACGUACCGAACAUCAGUCAGAACUCUGGUUGAUCCAUCUUUAUUCUUUAAUUGGAUUGAACCUAUCCCAACAGUUUUACAGGCAUUAUCAUUGCCCAUAUAAACAACUCCUCCAUUUAGUUCUACUAAAUCAGAGAACCACUCCCGGUUAGGGGACAUAUGAUAGGUACAACCCGAAUCUAAUAUCCACUCAUCUGAAUGGAACGACGAUGAUGAUGCAACCAGUGCUAGUUCAGAGUCACUGGUAUCAUGCUUUGCAACACAAGCAUCUACAGCAGCUUUUCCCUUAUUCUUCAGCUUUGGACAAUUUUUCUUCCAGUGGCCUUUCUCAUGACAAAAAGUACAUUCAUCUUUCCCGAGUCUGGACUUUGACUUUGAUCUCCCCUUUUGAGUUUUCUUCCGAGUGUAUGAACGACCUCGGACUACUAAAGCUUCUGUAUCUCUGAUUGAGUUUUUCUGUUUGUCCUUCUUUCUCUGUUCAUAACUGUAUAAGGCCGCACAGACUUCGCUCAGAGAUAUAUCACUCCUGCCAUGAAGUAGAGUAGUUUCUAGGAACUCAAACUCCUCAGGAAGUGACCCAAACAGCAUCAAAGCUAAAUCUUCAUAUUUGAAUGUCUCAUCCAUAUUCAGCAAAUCAGUGACUAACUGAUUAAAUUUGGUGAUGUGAUCAUUCAUUGUGGUACUUGGGACGUAUGUGAAGCGAAAUAGUCUUUUCUUCAAGUGGAGCUUAUUUUGACUGUUUUUCUUCAAAAAAUUUUCUUCAAGUGCCACCCACAACUUAUUUGCAGAAGUCUCCUUUGAAAAAGUAUACCUCUGCUCUCGAGAAAGGCAUGAUCGAAUUGUGCCACAUGCCAACCGAUUGAUCGCCUUCCAAUCUUUCUCCUGUACAUCAUCUGGUUUCUCUUCAUCAAUGGCAAUGUCUAGACCCUGCUGAAAAAGGGCAUCUAGAACUUCACUUUGCCACAUACCAAAAUGGCCCGUGCCAUCAAAGAUCUCCACGACCAAUCUUGCAUUUGCAAUUGUCGGUCUUGUCCACAUGGACGAUGUUGAAGCUCCUACGCCGACCAUUUUCUCCAUAAUCUUUCAAUAUACCUAAGGAAAUCUUUUCUGAUGUGGAAGAUCAGUUCAAACUGCAACCACAGAGCAUACUACGAUUAACCUUCGGCUCUUGAUACCACUUGUUGUUCCAAUAGGGUCGGAAACGUGUAAAGUAUUGUACUAAAAAAUCACACAAAGUUCAAUUCCCAGGGAAGAGAGGUGGAUCACAAGGAUCUCUUAAAUACCAAGUCUUUCCUUAGUCAGAAUAUUCCUUCUAACGUAAUUUAAUAGCACAAUUAAAUACUACUAUUAUACCCUCAAAUAUUGAAAGAAAAAUAGGACAAAAAGAACACAAGAGUUUUAACGAGGUUCAGUAAAUUAUACCUACGUCCUCGGCUACUAAAACCAGAUGAUAACUUUACUAUCUCCAAAAUAUUACAAACAAAUAGAAUUCCUUAAGAAUUCUCAAAUGGGAGAAGAGAGAAAACUAAGAGAGAAAGAUUGGUUGGGAUGAAUUGAAAUGAGAAAUAAGAAGGCCUAUUUAUAGUUGAGGUUCAAGGACCAAACAAUAAAUAGCCUAUUAUCUCAAGGACCAAAAAAAAAUUAUCCCUUGCCACUUUUCCAAAGUUGGUGGUUGUCAUUAUUGAUUGUCUCCCAUUAAUGUUAAUGGCAACCAUUAUUAAUUGUCUUCCAUUAAUGUUAACAGAUGUUAGGAACCCCUGGUCCAACCCGUCUGUUUUUGAAGCUUUUCGAGUUGAAACAAGCACCGAAUGGCGCAACUGGUUUUACUUGGGGAAUAGCAGAGAGCUCCUUAGAGAAAAAUUGUGUGACAGCUUUGAAGAUUGGGUGGUGUAGAAUGGUGUAAGGGUUGAUUGUGCUGAGCUUCGUGCCUCCGACGCCUUGUUUAUUGAUCGAUAACAGCGCUGUGUCUAUCAGGACAUCCUUGUCGUUUAUCUUGAUUGAUAUAACUUCCAUAUAGUACUCUCAUUGGGGACUGAUGAUAAGUGGAGUGUAGCUUAAUGGUCGUGUUAUAUCAACAUUAGGCAGCAUAUAAUAAGGGCUGUCUCCAAAGAACAUGACACCUUUAGGGGCUAAACAAAGGGCAAACGUUGGGGCAAAACCAGCAGACCCAAAGUGUGAGGCCAGUUGAGUUGGUAGAGAAAUGGGGGAAUGCCCUAAUCCAGCCACCCCUUGAACAGUACUUGGUAACCCUCUUUGCAGUAAAAGGGAAUGUGCACAAGUGAACAAGAACUGAGGGACCCUAACCAUUGGACCAGGGUUAGACCCUUGAGUGGAUUGAAUUGAUAGCACAUCUUGUGCAAGCUCACUCAUGGCGGUAAGGCCUGUCACAGGGUUCAUUGACAUGACCCCACAUGUGUUGUUAUGGCACCUUGUUCCAUCCCUGGUGGAGCAUAUGUGGCAAUAGUGACUGUCAGCUCUAGAGCAUUGAGUCGAG
rnacentral:lncRNA from 1 species